ACGUACACUCCUGCGGGAGGCAGCAGUGAGGAAUAUUGGACAAUGGGUGGAAGCCUGAUCCAGCCAUCCCGCGUGCAGGAAGACGGCCCUAUGGGUUGUAAACUGCUUUUAUCUGGGGAUAAACCUACUUACGUGUAAGUAGCUGAAGGUACCAGAAGAAUAAGCACCGGCUAACUCCGUGCCAGCAGCCGCGGUAAUACGGAGGGUGCAAGCGUUAUCCGGAUUUAUUGGGUUUAAAGGGUCCGUAGGCGGACUGAUAAGUCAGUGGUGAAAUCCGACAGCUUAACUGUCGAACUGCCAUUGAUACUGUUAGUCUUGAGUAAGGUUGAAGUGGCUGGAAUAAGUAGUGUAGCGGUGAAAUGCAUAGAUAUUACUUAGAACACCAAUUGCGAAGGCAGGUCACUAAGUCGUAACUGACGCUGAUGGACGAAAGCGUGGGGAGCGAACAGGAUUAGAAACCCGGGUAGUCCCAU
rnacentral:rRNA from 1 species